GCCUAGGUGGCUCAGUCGGUUGAGCAUCUGACUUCAGCUCAGGUCAUGAUCUCAUGGUUCAUGGGUUCGAGCCCCGCGUCAGGCU
rnacentral:tRNA from 1 species